rnacentral:misc_RNA from 1 species
GUAGGUGAACCUGCGGAAGGAUCAUUAACACUUUAUAUUAUCCAAUAUAUCAAAAACCAAACGGCAACUUUUCCCCUCCCUAUUCGUAAUCAGAGAUGGUUCGAUUAGGCUAAACUCUUUUUUAUUCAAACACCUUCUAUAUUAAAUAACACUUUUCGUUUUUUGGGAUAAUUCCAUCAACGAACUAACUAAAAUAUACAUUGAUAUAUUUUUCUCUACGAAAUAAUAUAUUUCUAUAAGAACAACUCUUAGCAAUGGAUAUCUUGGUUCUC